CCCCUCUCAGGAUUGCACCUGGAGGGUUUCCAAGUACCCUACCAGUCUUGGCUACGGGAGGGAGAGUCAAGCAGAGGCAUACCCUUUCCAUUCCUAGCUGGAGCAGUGGCUAGCGAGUGGAAAACAAUCUGCUACAAAU
rfam:Ornithorhynchus anatinus chromosome 12, whole genome shotgun sequence.